rnacentral:lncRNA from 1 species
CCUGCAGUCAGACUUCCUCUCAUUCUUUUCAUCUAAAAUUUUACAGUUCUGCCUUGUGUUGACUGAGGAAGGGAUUUAUCCAGGGCUACUGCAAAGGCAAGGGAAAGUAGGGAGAAGAAUCAAGCUGCUGUCUGUAAUCGCAUCUAAAUACCAGAGACAAGUCCUUCCGCAGCUUUGAAGAGCAGUGGGAAUACCUGGAGCUGUCCCAUGGGUGACACCUUUCCUGCCAGUUUCACCAGAAGAAGGUGAUUUUAGAGGCUGUGCCCAAGCAGCAAUGGCAUCUGCAUGGUCUCCAUGCAGUCGUGAUCCUUGUGCCUGUGCUGGGCACCCC